rnacentral:rRNA from 1 species
AAUUCCAGCUCCAAUAGUGUAUAUUAGAGUUGUUGCAGUUAAAAAGCUCGUAGUUGGAUUUCUGUCGUGGUCAACCGGCGCCGCCCGUAUGGGUGCGUGCCUGGUUUGCCCGCGGCUUUCUUCUGGUUAGCCUUCCGCGCUUAAUUGCGUGUGUUGGUGUUCCGGAACUUUUACUUUGAGAAAAAUAGAGUGUUUCAAGCAGGCUUGUCGCCCUGAAUACUUCAGCAUGGAAUAAUAAGAUAGGACCUUGGUUCUAUUUUGUUGGUUUCUAGGACCAAGGUAAUGAUUAAUAGGGACAGUUGGGGGCAUUCGUAUUUAACUGUCAGAGGUGAAAUUCUUAGAUUUGUUAAAGACGAACUACUGCGAAAGCAUUUGCCAAGGAUGUUUUCAUUAAUCAAGAACGACAGUAGGGGGUUUGAAGACGAUUAGAUACCGUCGUAAUCUCUACCAUAAACUAUGCCGACUAGAGAUAGGGAAACGCCUACCUUGGCUUCUCCUG